rnacentral:rRNA from 1 species
AUUGAACGCUGGCGGCAGGCCUAACACAUGCAAGUCGAGCGGAUGAAGGGAGCUUGCUCCUGGAUUCAGCGGCGGACGGGUGAGUAAUGCCUAGGAAUCUGCCUGGUCGUGGGGGAUAACGUCCGGACACGGGCGCUAAUACCGCAUACGUCCUGAGGGAGAAAGUGGGGGAUCUUCGGACCUCACGCUAUCAGCUGAGCCUAGGUCGGAUUAGCUAGUUGGUGGGGUAAAGGCCUACCAAGGCGACGAUCCGUAACUGCUCUGAGAGGAUGAUCAGUCACACUGGAACUGAGACACGGUCCAGACUCCUACGGGAGGCAGCAGUGGGGAAUAUUGGACAAUGGGCGAAAGCCUGAUGGAGCCAUGCCGCGUGUGUGAAGAAGGUCUUCGGAUUGUAAAGCACUUUAAGUUGGGAGGAAGGGCAGUAAGUGAAUACCUGGCUGUUUUGACGUUACCAACAGAGUAAGCACCGGCUAACUUCGUG